UACGAAGGGGGCUAGCGUUGUUCGGAAUCACUGGGCGUAAAGGGCGCGUAGGCGGCUUUAUAAGUCGGGGGUGAAAGCCUGUGGCUCAACCACAGAAUUGCCUUCGAUACUGUAUGGCUUGAGACCGGAAGAGGUAAGUGGAACUGCGAGUGUAGAGGUGAAAUUCGUAGAUAUUCGCAAGGACACCAGUGGCGAAGGCGGCUUACUGGUCCGGUUCUGACGCUGAGGCGCGAAAGCGUGGGGAGCAAACAGG
rnacentral:rRNA from 1 species